rnacentral:rRNA from 1 species
CGGCCUACGGGGGGCAGCAGUCGGGAAUAUUGCGCAAUGGAGGAAACUCUGACGCAGUGACGCCGCGUAUAGGAAGAAGGUUUUCGGAUUGUAGACUAUUGUCGUUAGGGAAGAUAAAAGACAGUACCUAAGGAGGAAGCUCCGGCUAACUACGUGCCAGCAGCCGCGGUAAUACGUAGGGAGCAAGCGUUAUCCGGAUUUAUUGGGUGUAAAGGGUGCGUAGACGGGAAAUUAAGUUAGUUGUGAAAUCCCUCGGCUUAACUGAGGAACUGCAACCAAAACUACAUUUCUUGAGUGCUGGAGAG